rnacentral:rRNA from 1 species
UACGUAGGGGGCAAGCGUUAUCCGGAUUUACUGGGUGUAAAGGGAGCGUAGACGGCGAUGCAAGUCUGAAGUGAAAGCCCGGGGCUCAACCCCGGGACUGCUUUGGAAACUGUGUUGCUAGAGUGCAGGAGAGGUAAGUGGAAUUCCUAGUGUAGCGGUGAAAUGCGUAGAUAUUAGGAGGAACACCAGUGGCGAAGGCGGCUUACUGGACUGUAACUGACGUUGAGGCUCAAAAGCGUGGGGAGCGAACAGGAUUAGAUACCCUGGUAGUCCCUGA